UGGCUAACUCCUACGGGAGGCAGCAGUGGGGACUUUUGGACAAUGGGCGCAAGCCUGAUCCAGCCAUGCCGCGUGAGUGAAGAAGGCCUUCGGGUUGUAAAGCUCUUUCGGCCGGGAAGAAAUCGUGGUCUCUAACAUAGGCCAUGGAUGACGGUUCCGGACUAAGAAGCACCGGUUAACUACGUGCCAGCAGCCGCGGUAAUACGUAGGGUGCGAGCGUUAAUCGGAAUUACUGGGCGUAAAGCGUGCGCAGGCGGUUUUGUAAGACAGAUGUGAAAUCCCCGGGCUUAACCUGGGAACUGCGUUUGUGACUGCAAGGCUAGAGUACGGCAGAGGGGGGUGGAAUUCCUGGUGUAGCAGUGAAAUGCGUAGAUAUCAGGAGGAACACCAAUGGCGAAGGCAGCCCCCUGGGCCUGUACUGACGCUCAUGCACGAAAGCGUGGGGAGCAAACAGGAUUAGAUACCCGAGUAGUCCAGCUGG
rnacentral:rRNA from 1 species